UACGUAGGCAGCGAGCGUUGUUCGGAGUUACUGGGCGUAAAGAGUGCGUAGGCGGUCAGCCAAGUUUGGUGUGAAAUCUCCCGGCUCAACCGGGAGGGUGCGCCGAAAACUGGUUGGCUUGAGUAUGGGAGAGGAAGGCGGAAUUCCUGGUGUAGCGGUGAAAUGCGUAGAUAUCAGGAGGAACACCUGUGGUGUAGACAGCUUUCUGGACCAUCACUGACGCUGAGGCACGAAAGCGUGGGUAGCAAAC
rnacentral:rRNA from 1 species